GACACGCUCGGCGUUUCCCUGGCAGCGCGGCGCCAUCGGCCGCUGUUGUCCCUAAGCACCGCCGGUGAUGCGUCGCUGCCCCCGACCGGUGGAACUCUUCAGGCUGCAGAGACUUUCUAUUCUGAAGACCAAAGCCUGAAGGUCACUCAGAAGUCUGGAAUUUGAGGCCUGAUGACCGGAGUGCUGAGUCUCUGAGCCCACUGAGAAAGUUGAAGCUGAAUGUUGGUGAAUCUGCAAGACCACUGGAGGCUGGAGAUGCUGCCUGGCUUGCCGAGUUCUUCCAGCAUUUUGUGCGUGUUGUUUGGAAUUGAGGGUUGAUGAGGUUAUUUACGCAGGAAGAAACUAUACAAACAUAGUGCAUAGGACAAUAUGAAGAAAGUAUUCAACUUACUUCUUCUGUCAUGGUAUUUCAAUAUUAUUCAACAUUUUCCAACUUACGAAAGAAAAUUGAAAUAAAACCCAUUAUAGGAAAUGAAGUGUCGAAUUGACAUUCAGUUAUUCAGCAUGUUAAUAUAUGUUAUAAUAAGUUUUGACUGAACAUAAUUUUGGUAAACUGCAAUGAAAUAUUAUUUGUCAGUGCUCAUUUUUCAGCACCAUAAGUUAAUAGUACCCUUCUGUGGAUCAUUCAGGAUCCAUGACGUUCCUAAUUACCACUUCUGGCACAAAUUUCUUACAGGCAUAACACAACAACUAAAACAAAUAAAAAAACAAGUACUGCUUUGUGUAUGUGUAUCAAAAGAAAUGCAGUGAAAUACUAUUGACCUAUAAAAUCCUCAUUGAAAAAUUUGAAAUCAAGUAUGUAAUUGCAAAGUUUUUUAUACAGUGGAAAGAAUUUGAUUGUUCAUUAUGUUUCUCUCUGGCUUUUGGUUCUACAAAAUAAGUUCAUUCACAUUGAAAGUCUAAUGAUACUGUAGUACUUCCGAUGUUUUCCUCAGUGGCAGUUGAUUCCUGUCCACCAGGGGGUGUGCAACAGCAGGGUGAGUUGCCCUAUGAUACCAUUCUCAAUUCGGAAGCAUCAUCAGUUACAGGCAAACCCGAGAGAUAUUGUGAAAGUACAUCUGCUUCAUUAAUUUAGGGAACCAUUAGGAAUCUUUUCGGGAAGGAAAUCUGCUAUCCUUACCAGGAUGGCCUAUAUAUGACUAGACAAAUAAGUAUUACUGACUGCUCUCUGAAGUGGUCAAGCAAGAUACUAAAUUCAGGCACAAAUAGAAAUAGGCAACAAGUGCUUAUUUUGCCUGCACCACCCACAUCCUUUGAAUGCAUAAAAAGGUACAAGUAAAAAAGGAUAGGAACUGAAGGUUCUAAAAGUGAGUCAUUAAUCUUUUUGUUAUCUUCACAAAUGGAACAAAAUGUUGUGUUAAAAUGUAAUAUGUACUUUGCAAUGUAGACAAAAAUAUGUCCUGCUAAUUGAAUAUCUUUGCUGGAACUGAAAUAUUGAAAUACAUAAUUCAUUCAUAGAAUGCAAAUAACUGCCUAAAUGAUCCUUUUUCAUGGAAGCAAUAAUGUUGGCUAAAUUACAGGGAAAAUUAUCUUCAAACAUGCCAAGAGGA